rnacentral:sRNA from 1 species
GCUAGGCAGCCACCACAGGAAAGCAGAAAGGGCAUCUCUCAAGGGUUUCAUACCUUCCUGGUCCAAUAAGAUUAUGAGAGACAAAUGCAGCUUCUACUUCUCCCAGGCAUUUCAAAUUAGUGCCUUGCUGUGUGAUACUGAGUUCUUUGCUCAACCCCUCUGGACUCUCACCAUUUCAUCUCAUUCUUUAUUCCCCAGACCACCUCCAGGCUGAUAGGAAAAAAGAUGAAAACAGAUUCUUCAAAAGCAUGAAUAAAAAUGACAUGAAGAGCUGGGACUUGUUGCAGAAAAAUAAUCAUAAAAUGAACAAAACCUCAGAGCCCAGGUCAUCUUCUCCAGGUAAGAGUCCUGUCUCUGAAUACUAAGGGACCUCUAAGUCUACAGGUGGUCAAAAUGCUGUAUCCACCCAAUUCCACCAAAUGGAAUAAAUGAAUGAAUUCAUUUAUUCCAUUUCCUCAGUUCCUCCCCAAAUUACACCUCUGCCAGGAAACAGUGGGCGCUC